GGAGGGGUGGCCGAGCGGUCAAUGGCACCAGACUGUAAAUCUGGCGGGUUCGCCCUACGAAGGUUCAAAUCCUUCCCCCUCCACCA
rnacentral:tRNA from 1 species